rnacentral:rRNA from 1 species
CCUACGGGUGGCAGCAGUGGGGAAUAUUGCACAAUGGGGGGAACCCUGAUGCAGCGACGCCGCGUGGGUGAGGAAGUACUUCGGUAUGUAAAGCCCUAUCAGCAGGGAAGAAAAUGACGGUACCUGACUAAGAAUCCCCGGCUAACUACGUGCCAGCAGCCGCGGUAAUACGUAGGAGGCGAGCGUUAUCCGGAAUGACUGGGCGUAAAGGGUGCGUAGGUGGUUUGGCAAGUUAGUAGCGUAACUCCAAGGCUCAACCUUGGAACUACUACUAAAACUGUUGGACUUGAGUGCAGGAGGGGCAACCGGAAUUCCUAGUGUAGCGGUGGAAUGCGUAGAUAUUAGGAGGAACACCAGUGGCGAAGGCGGGUUGCUAGACUGUAACUGACACUGAGGCACGAAAGCGUGGGGAGCAAACAGGAUUAGAUACCCCUGUAGUC